AGCAGCCGCGGUAAUUCCAGCUCCAAUAGCGUAUAUUAAAGUUGUUGCAGUUAAAAAGCUCGUAGUUGAAUUUCGGGACCAAUUUGUUGGUCGUGCCUCGGUACGUACUGGUAUUAUUGGUUUCUCCCUUCUGAAGAACCUCGAUGCCAUUAAUUUGGUGUCGUGGGGAAUCAGGACUGUUACUUUGAAAAAAUUAGAGUGUUUAAAGCAAGCAUACGCUUGAAUACAUUAGCAUGGAAUAAUGAAAUAGGACGUUUGAUUCUAUUUUGUUGGUUUCUAGGAUCGACGUAAUGAUUAAUAGGGAUAGUUGGGGGCAUUAGUAUUCAAUUGUCAGAGGUGAAAUUCUUGGAUUUAUUGAAGACUAACUACUGCGAAAGCAUUUGCCAAGGAUGUUUUCAUUAAUCAAGAACGAAAGUUAGGGGAUCGAAGACGAUCAGAUACCGUCGUAGU
rnacentral:rRNA from 1 species